rnacentral:rRNA from 1 species
GCCAGAGGUUACUGCUAUCGAGGUCCGACUAAGCCAUGCGAGUCGAAUGUAGCAAUACAUGGCAAACUGCUCAGUAACACGUGGACAACCUACCCUGAAGCUGGGGAUAAACCCGGGAAACUGGGUAUAAUACCCGAUAGACCUGAGAUGCUGGAAUGCGUUCAGGUCGAAAGCUCCGGCGCUUCAGGAUGGGUCUGCGGCCUAUCAGGUAGUAGUGGGUGUAAAGUACCUACUAGCCUACGACGGGUACGGGUUGUGAGAGCAAGAGCCCGGAGAUGGAUUCUGAGACACGAAUCCAGGCCCUACGGGGUGCAGCAGGCGCGAAAACUUUACAAUGCCGGCAACGGCGAUAAGGGGACCUCGAGUGCCAGGAUACAAUCUUGGCUGUCGUGAUGCCUAAAAAGCAUUAUAUAGCAAGGGCCGGGCAAGACCGGUGCCAGCCGCCGCGGUAACACCGGCGGCUCGAGUGGUAACCGCUAUUAUUUGGUCUAAAGGGUCUGUAGCCGGCCKGAUAAGUCUCUUGGGAAAUCUGGCAGCUCAACUGUCAGGCUAUCAGGAGAUACUGUCUGGCUCGAGACCGGGAGAGGUGAGAGGUACUUCAGGGGUAGGGGUGAAAUCUUGUAAUCCUUGAAGGACCACCAGUGGCGAAGGCGUCUCACCAGAACGGACCUGACGGCAAGGGACGAAAGCUAGGGGCACGAACCGGAUUAGAUACCCGGGUAGUCCUAGCCGUAAACGAUACUCGCUAGGUGUCGGCCACGGUGCGACCGUGUCGGUGCCGUAGGGAAGCCGUGAAGCGAGCCACCUGGGAAGUACGGCCGCAAGGCUGAAACUUAAGGAUUGGGCGGGGGGGAGCA